ACUUUUAAUGGGAAAAAGACUCCCGUUGGUCNUAGAANCCGCACGUCUUGGUGCAAAUCCAAGUAAAAGUAAUG
rnacentral:tRNA from 1 species